rnacentral:rRNA from 1 species
UACAGAGGGGGCAAGCGUUGUUCGGAAUUACUGGGCGUAAAGGGCGCGUAGGCGGCCUGCUAAGUCGAACGUGAAAUCCCCGGGCUCAACCCGGGAACUGCGUCCGAUACUGGCAGGCUUGAAUCCGGGAGAGGGAUGCGGAAUUCCUGGUGUAGCGGUGAAAUGCGUAGAGAUCAGGAAGAACACCGGUGGCGAAAGCGUUCUGCUAGACCUGUACUGACACUGAGGGACGAAAGCUAGGGGAGCGAAUGGG